CCUACGGGUGGCAGCAGUGAGGAAUAUUGGUCAAUGGGCGCGAGCCUGAACCAGCCAAGUAGCGUGAAGGAUGACUGUCCUAUGGGUUGUAAACCUCUUUUAUCGGGGAGCAAAGGACGCCACGCGUAGUGUUCCGAAAGUACCCGAAGAAAAAGCAUCGGCUAACUCCGUGCCAGCAGCCGCGGUAAUACGGAGGAUACGAGCGUUAUCCGGUUUUAUUGGGUUAAAGGGGUGCGCAGGCGGAAGUUCAAGUCAGCGGUAAAAUUGAGAGGCUCAACCUCUUCGAGCCGUUGAAAAUGGUUUCCUUGAGUGAGUUAGAAGUAUGCGGAAUGCGUGGUGUAGCGGUGAAAUGCAUAGAUAUCACGAAGAACUCCGAUUGCGAAGGCAGCAUACUGGCGCUCAACUGACGCUCAUGCACGAAAGUGUGGGUAUCGAACAGGAUUAGAUACCCGUGUAGUC
rnacentral:rRNA from 1 species